rnacentral:rRNA from 1 species
GGGUGCCAUCAUACCAGCACUAAUGCACCGGAUCCCAUCAGAAUUCUGUAGUUAAGAGUGCUUAGGCGAGAGUAGUAGUAGGAUAGGUGACCUCCUGGGAAGUCCUCGUGUUGCACCCC